GUGGACAGCAACCAGACGGGGUGACUGCGACCGAAUGAGACAGUGCCUUCCACGAACCCACGAAGGAAAACACAACCAGUGGAUAAGGGGUGACUGCGACCGAAUGAGACAGUGCCUUCCACGAACCCACGAAGGAAAACACAAC